rnacentral:rRNA from 1 species
AGUGAACGCUGGCGGUAGGCCUAACACAUGCAAGUCGAACGGCAGCGCAGUAAGAGCUUGCUCUUACGGGUGGCGAGUGGCGGACGGGUGAGGAAUACAUCGGAAUCUACUUUUUCGUGGGGGAUAACGUAGGGAAACUUACGCUAAUACCGCAUACGACCUACGGGUGAAAGCAGGGGAUCUUCGGACCUUGCGCGAUUGAAUGAGCCGAUGUCGGAUUAGCUAGUUGGCGGGGUAAAGGCCCACCAAGGCGACGAUCCGUAGCUGGUCUGAGAGGAUGAUCAGCCACACUGGAACUGAGACACGGACCAGACUCCUACGGGAGGCAGCAGUGGGGAAUAUUGGACAAUGGGCGCAAGCCUGAUCCAGCCAUACCGCGUGGGUGAAGAAGGCCUUCGGGUUGUAAAGCCCUUUUGUUGGGAAAGAAAAGCAGCAGGUUAAUACCCCGCUGUUCUGACGGUACCCAAAGAAUAAGCACCGGCUAACUUCGUG